AGGAACUCAACCUCUCCUAGCAUCUCUGAAGAGCUGCUGCAGACGGUGUAAGACCAGAUACAUGUAUCUUUAGGAUAUGCUUUCUGAAGAAACCUGGGAGGCAAAAAGGAGAGUGAGCAAGAGACAAGAGAACCUCUGAUACUGCACAUAAAUCUGCACUGUCAGCUUGUAUCCAUGUGGCUGCAGAAUUGGGAGGAGUAACUAAUCCACCAGAUGCUUGUGCUGCAGUUCAGAGGGACCUUGGCUAGCUGGAGAAAUGCUCCAAUUUAUGAAGUACAGCAAAUGGAAAUACCAAGGCCUGCACCUGGGAGGAAUGACUCUAUCCAGCAGCGCACACUGGAGACCAGCUGGCUGGAAAGCAGCUUUGGAGAGAAAACCCUGUGACUCCUGUCAGGCAUCAAGUUGACCAUAAGCCAGCAAAGGGCCUUCACAGCAAAGUUCAAAAAUGUCCUGGCUUGCAACAGGCUGCAAUGCCAGCAGGUCAAGGGAAGUGAUCCUUCCUCUCUAUUCAGCCCUGAUGAGGCACAUUUGGAGUGCUGGAUCCACUUCUGGGCUGCCCAGUACAAGAGAGACAUGAACAUACUGGAGCAGAUCCAGCAAAGGAGCACAAAGAUGAUGAAGAGAGUGGUGCAUCUGACCUCUGAGGAAAGGCUGAUUCAUUCUGGAGGGGGAAAAAAAAAAAAAGCUCAAGGGGAGUCGUGUAAAUGUGUAUAAAUACAUAACAAGGAUCUGGAGACAGCCUUUUCUCAGCUGUAUUCUGUGGCAGGACUAGGGGCAUUGGGCAAAAACUGAAAUACAGGAAAUUCUGCUUCAGCGUCAGAGCAGGUUUUUUUAUUUUUUAUUUAUUAUUAUUAUUUUUUUUUUUUUUUAUGGUGAGGGCAGUGGAACACUGGAACAGAUUGCUCAGAGAAGUUACAGUGUCUCAAUCCUUGGAAAUAUUUAAAGCCCAACAGGACACAAUCCUGUGGUUCUGUGAGUGUGCCUCUGUGGACAAAUGUUCCCAGCAUUUCUCAUUUGCUCAGCAUUUUGGCUUAAUUUUGGGUCUAUCACAGUAGAAACUUGGAAGCAGUCAUUUGCCUUAAAUGCACUCAACAGACUUCUAGAACUGAUUUUGACCAUUCACUGUCUGAGAGACUCACAGAUCAGCCUCCCUGCUGCUCUACGUUCUCUGAACUUCUCCACUGGUACUUAUUCAUUUCAUUUUUUGGUGUGGAGAUUUUUAUCAAGCAGUUAUAUUAUGGAGAUUGUAUCAUCCUCACACUGUUUAGCAGUGCUGCUGAUACAGUGAAAAAAAAAGUACAACAAAUAAACUAUUUAUUUCAGAUCU